rnacentral:sRNA from 1 species
UGCAGAUGGCAGACUCUGGAGGGCUGCCCCAGGUCACACAGCCAGGGAAGCUGACUGAAGCCUUCAAAUACUUCCUGCAAGGCAUGGGCUACAUGCCCUCAGCCAGCAUGACCCGCCUGGCGCGCUCCCGCACUGCAUCCCUCACCAGUGCCAGCUCGGUGGAUGGCAGCCGCCCACAGGCCUGCACCCACUCGGAGAGCAGCGAGGGGCUGGGCCAGGUCAACCACACCAUGGAGGUGUCCUGUUGAAGCCCUUGAUCCCGCUGACGACGCCCACGUCGAGGCCCCACCACCAUCCUUGCGCCGGCUCAUGUUCCCUUUAGUUUAUUUUUGUGAGGGCAAAGGGGAGGAAAUGGGGAUCUGUUUGAAAAAAAUGAGGGGAUCUUAGAUGCUGCAGCAGAACAGUCUCCAGGUGUUUUAAGGGGCUCAGUCCUCCUCAUCCCAUCUCACUCUCCGUGGUAACUUAGCCAACUUGACCCCUCUCAUCCCACUCCCGGCAGCCCAGGCACAGAAGGGCAGGGCCAUAGGGAGGGAGAUUCGCUACGGAUCCAGGCCAUUCCUGGGUGAGCCCUUGGGCAGGCAUGUUUGGAGAUGAGAGAGGCUUCGAGAGGGUGGGUGCUGGGCCACAGGGGUGCAGGGCCAGUUCAGGCACUGGCGUGGGAGCCCUGGGAGACCCCUUCCCCCACCCUCCACCAAGCACACCUGUUUCUGUCUCAUAGCACAUGUGACAAUCAUCUGGACAACAGCCACAAGGGGGCGCUCGGACCAGGCAGCCACUUUCCUGGUGCUCUCUGGGCCCAGCUGGUGCUGUAGGGCCACGCAGGCAGGGGCGUCAAGGGGUUUCUCUGCCCAAGGAAGACAGAACAUGGAGAACCGUCAGGGCAGGAACCCCACAGACUGUCCCUUCCAGCCCACACUCUGCCACCUCCUGGCCCUGUCCCAAUUCUGAGCCAAGGCCUCCCCGAGGCAGAAGUUGCCUGGUCCUCUGUCCCCACAGUGACCUGGCUGGGGGUGAGGGAGAAGGAGGAGAGAGCCCAUGUGUGGUGUGUGUGCCCCUGAGAACUUCAUGGUGACUGCCUUUGGGAGCCCGCAGGUGGCCAGAGGCAGGGGUAGCUGAGUUCCUGGAGACCCCUUUUUUGCCCCCAGGUUCCCCAGAGGGCAACGCCAUCAGUAGCAGUGUGGUGUUUCAGGCAGAGCUCUGGCCAGGCUGUGCCAGUGUGUCCCGGAAGCAUCACUAAGGAAGAGAGAGUUUAUUUAGUCAACUGGCCCAAGGCAGCGAGGCUUCUACAGUCCCACACCCCAUAGCCGCCUGGGCUGGGGCUUACUGGGGGCUGAAGGUUCUGGACAUGAACAAGGGUCAGGUAGAAGAGAAAGGCUUCCCCUACACCCCAGCCUCCUGCUGUCCCCUGAAGCCCAGGACUGCGUUGUAUGCUUUCCAUCCACUCACCUUACCCCAUAGCAUCUUGCGGCCCAGAAACCAGAGCCAUUUGUCUCAGACCCUAAAUCAAUAAUCACAAACCCCAAAACGGGAGAGAGCAGUGAAAACAUGCAGGGCUGUGGACGGGGGAAGGGUUGUGGCGGGUGUUCUGAGGUUGAGAGGACACCUAUAUGCGUAUUUCCUCUACACACAUCACCCCCCCCUUCUAUAAUCUUAAGCCAUGACUAGCCUGGUGGCGUGUUAGUUUCUGCCCAGUUCUACCCCCUCAUGUGCUUCUUCUGAAUACUGAAUGUGAUUGUUUGAAAGCUGGUAGAAUUCAUCCCUCUUACUGUAGAUAGCACUGCAAAUCUUGGAAUUUUGUUUUUUGCUGUUUCCAGAUGUAUCUAUAAAUAUCUAUACAUUAUAUAUGUGUGUGUGUGUGUGUGUGUGUGUACAUCAGGUCCUCCCAUGUGUGGUGUUCUUCUGGAGGUUGUCUCUUUGGUCAAGGUGAACUUUUAAUGUUUAUUAUUUUCUUCUCCACACAAAGUAAAGAGCCUAAUUUUGUGUAUUCUGGUGGCUGCUGUCAUGAGAUGAUAAAAUGUAAAACAAAACUCUAGUCAACGUAGAAAGAGUUAACUGUGCUGAAAAACUAAUAAAGAACCUAAGAAGAA